rnacentral:misc_RNA from 1 species
GAAAUGCGAUAAUUAAUGUGAAUUACAGGAUUCAGUGAAUCAUCGAGUCUUUGAACGCACAUUGCGCCCCCUGGUAUUCCGGGGGGCAUGCCUGUCCGAGCGUCAUUGCUGCCCUCAAGCACGGCUUGUGUGUUGGGCUUCCGUCCCUGGCAACGGGGACGGGCCCAAAAGGCAGUGGCGGCACCAUGUCUGGUCCUCGAGCGUAUGGGGCUUUGUCACCCGCUCCCGUAGGUCCAGCUGGCAGCUAGCCUCGCAACCAAUCUUUUUAACCAGGUUGACCUCGGAUCAGGUAGGGAUACCCGCUGAACUUAAGC